AUGCCCAAACACACAGGGCACAGCAGCCCUUCCCUGUGCUCCAUCCUCACAUCACACACCCCAUGUCACGCAUCUCUCCAUGUCACACAUCUCUCCAUGUCACACAUCUCUCCAUGUCACACACCCCAUGUCACACAUCUCUCCAUGUCACACACCCCACGAUGUCACACACCCCACGUCACACAACCCAUGUCACACAUCCCCACGUCACACCCUGCCCACCCCAGCCCCUCACAGCACACCCUGCAGCACUCCAGAUCACUCACUCAGCACACACAACAAAGCACAAGCCCUUCUCUGCCUCCCCCACCCUCCUCACCAGCAGACAUUCAUCUGAAAAAAGUCACCUUUGAAGCCAAACCCGGUUUGGGGGCUGGAUGCUGGGAAGAGGGGGCCUUUUCUGUCCCUGCUGUCCAGACACUGGCAAGCAGCACUAUCUCAGCUUGGCUCCCCCUCAGCCCCAGACAAACGUGGCUUCCCUCUUGACUUGCUAUUUAAAACCUGUCCCAAGGCUGGCACACGGUUUCAGAUUAACGAGCUGGAGCCACGGGGGGCGGGCAGUGUCCCUGUCCCUGCCCAGAGCCAGGUGUCCCCACAGCAGAGCUCCUGCCCCCUCCAUGCCACACCAGCCCAUUCAUCAGGAGCUCCAGCUGCAGGGGAGUGGAGGCUGAGUCGGAUACAUUGCAUAAAUUCAAGGGUUAAUUGCAUUUACACAUCCCCUCUCAGCACACUCCGCCAGAACAGCUCUUUAUCUGCAGACAUGGCUCGCUGACCCGGGCUGAACGGGGAGCCUGCACCGAGGUGAGCAGCAGAACUGAAAGCACUUGGCUCCCUGAGCUGAGUCCCUCCUGCCAGCUGCUCCCCCAGGAGCUCAAACUGUGAGCACACUGCCCAGGGCACUGGGAGCCUCCUCCAUCCAGGCUUGGGCACAACCCAGGGUUUGGUGUUCUGUUCCACACACAGUUUCAGAGAUUUUGAAAUCUGGACCGAAGUGGAGCAGCAGCAACACCUGAAGUGUGGAAAUUGUCUUACAAGGAAAAUCUUAUUUUCCUUUAGAAAACAAUGGACCUGUUGUAGAGAGUCCAGAGGAGGCCACAGAGAUGCUCAGAGGGCUGGAACAUCUCUGCUGUGG
rnacentral:lncRNA from 12 species